UGUUCGGCUCCGCCCGAACUUAGACUUUCUUACUUGUUCUCCCAUUUACUUUUAUCACUUCUGUGCUUCGCAUAUUCAUUUCUGGUUCGCCCUCUAUGUUUGGUCGGCUGCUUCGUUGUUAUCGUCGUCGUUGUGGUUGUGCUGCCUACCAGCCGCCUCCAGCCUACCAUCCUUUCCGGCAUGCGACUCGUUAGGUUGGGAAGUUGAGUUCCGAAGCAGAGAAGACUAUCCUACCAUCAAAUUGAUGUGAUAAUUUUAUGUUCCUAUCUUAAAUAUGAAGAAGAUGUUGAGGAGACGUAUCUAGAUUAAAUAUGAAUUAAGAACCUGAAAUGUAUCAAAUGUAA